rnacentral:lncRNA from 1 species
CUGUUUGAAGAUCUACUUUUUAACUAACAUAUUGGCUUCACCUUCUUUUUGAUCAGUCUGAUAAACCAUCUGGAAACAAUUGAGAGUGACGUCACAAGUCCAGCAUUAUGUUUAAGUACAGAUAAAUAUCAGGGUACGAAAAGGCAAGAAAACAUGACAAAAUGAAAGGAUUAUUGAUGGGCAAUAAAGGAAGCGUAGUAGGUUUACCUUGAGAUUUCACUGAGCUAAUAUACUGGCUCCCAUUUCUAUGUUUAUUGUAGGAAAAAGAGAAAAACACUAAUCCAGGGAUAGAGCUGACUAGGGAUACCCAAGUCAAAAAGACUUUGUAGCACUGGGCUUGGCAGAGGGUCCUGAAGCUAAAUGCAGAAGACUGCGGGAAAUGUCUUCAACUGGGGCUAAAGGUCGUAAGCAAGGACAAUGAACCUGGAAUUUGGAGGAAUUCAUACUCCAGUGAAGAAUUUCCAGACCCCUCAUGAAAAUAGCAGAUUGCCUACUCACCAGAGAAUACUCAAGCUGAAACUAAGCAGCCCCUGGAGAGUAAGCAAAUGAUUAGAAGGGUAGAUUUCAGGCAAGCAAAAGGGUGAGAGCCCAGAAUCUCCCUGUGAAUGACCCUAAAAUUACAGCUAAUAUAGGAAGUGGCUUCCUUGUACCUCUAGAAAUUGAACUCUCAGAACCUGACUGACAGUCUGCUCUUAAGAACAUUACCUCAAUCUGGAGAGAAAUGUGUGUUUCUUCUCCUAUAUGGAUUUCAGACAGAAGCAGAAGGAGAGGCUUAGAGGUUGUUCGUCAUAAGUUGCCAAAAUGAAACAGAACUGUGAAAAGAAAAUGGAGAUGCUUCUUCAGAGGAGGUGCCCGUGAUGUGAUUUACUUGAUUAUUAUGGCUUGCAGGGUAUUGAGAUGGGAUUGUGUAACUUAAAUAAACUGGAUAUGAGUAGAGAUCUGAAAGGUUUUUCAAAAACAUUCAGCUUUACUUUUUUUUCCCCCUAAGGAACAAGUUGUUCACUCAUAGAGCUGAAAAGGAUAAAUGAAGUGUUCGGUUCACAGAAGCAAAAUAUGAGUAGUUCAUAUAUCUUUUGUAAAUGUUCUAUGUAUCACUGUAAACUAGACAUCUUCCACAUGCCCCUAUGUUUUUCCAUUUUGAAAUCAAUUUCUAGUUCAAACUUGUCAACAGACAAUGAAUAUUUGCAAAGUUAUAGUUUCACUGAAUUAGGAUGUAACCUGUAGCUCACAAUGAAAAUGCCAUUAGCUUGAGUUUGAAAUUUAUGUUGCUAUUUUUUUCUUUUGUCAAUAUUUUCCUUCUGUGGUACUUAUUGCACAAGGGUCGGAUAUCACAACUGAGGGAAACUGCAGAAAAAUGGUUCUUCCAAUCAUUCAGACCCAUUUAAGCCAUAGUCUUUGUUGGCUUUGCCAAAUGACUGAAUGCUUGGGUCUAUUAGGACUGUCAAAUAGUGUUGAGUACAUACUUGUGGCAUAAGCAAGUUAAUAUUUAUAGGGAGCACUUUUGCAUGUCUUUUAAGUCACACACUAAUU